GAGAAGAAGGCCCAUACUCCAUUUUUCUAACUUCAAAUCUACUUUCCUUCUAUACCUUUAAAACUGCCACUGAAACACACAAAUAUAACCACCGCACAAAAUGCUCCGACCAGGCACCGCCAUCGUCGCCUCCACAUUUGUUGCCCUCAUUUUCUCCUCCACGUUAUGCAAGGUGUCAGCCCAGGCGCCCUUACCUCUUCCUUUUCCAGGCUUCAAGCCACCGCCUUCAGCACCAACACCUUUCACUCCUCUAGCGCCUACGCCUUUAGGGCCUUCAGCACCAACACUCGAUUGCAUGACGCCGCUGCUUAACAUGUCAGAUUGCUUGAGUUAUGUACAGGAAUCAAGUAACACGACGGUGCCGGACAAGAAUUGCUGCCCGGAGCUGGCUGGAUUGAUCGAGGGAAGCCCUAUCUGCUUGUGUCAGUUGCUGAGUAACACUAGCUUGGCAGAGUCUUAUGGUAUUAAGAUCG
rnacentral:misc_RNA from 1 species